rnacentral:tRNA from 1 species
CAUUGGAUGGCUGAAAUGUAAGCAUUGGUCUCUUAAACCAAAUUAUAGUAAAAUAACGAAAUACUUCCAAUGA